GUUCUCAAGGAUUUGCAAGGACCUCAGCAGCAUUGGAGAUACUGGUAUCAUCAUCUUCAUUGGAUGAGUUAUUAUUGAGAUACUUCUGUACACAUAAUAUUGUGUACAGAAUUCACCCACCAUCCAUUGGUUGAAAUCUGAAUAGAAUGUGUAGGGAUUCUUGUUGGUUGUUUCAUACUAAUGUCCAACAUUCAUAUCAAUAGUUAUAGUACAAUAUCUAUCUGUUGGUUUGGGGUGAUUGUAGUUGUAAUUUUAGUGACAAAGGAAGGAGUGAAGUUCUCUACCAGGGGUGAUAUUGGAACUACAAAUAUUGUUUGCCAGCAAAAUACCUCUAUGGACAAGUGACAUAUGACCCAAACUGGUCUGCACAUCUGGAUUGGGCAUAUUGCCAGUUGGACUGUUGCUUCACUUCUACUGUUUAUUGGACAGGAAACCAAAAUAGGAUAGGAUUUUAAAGCGCAGGCUGAAACAGGUGAAAUCAAGGACAUUACUUGAAUGCUACUGUAGGCAUUCAAGGGAAAACUUCAACACAGGCCUCUAGAUCUCCUUCAAUUACUCUGUUCAAAUGGUACAAGGAUAGCUCGGGAGCAUUGGACGUUAGAGGAUCGAAAUCUCCUUCGAUGCAAGUAAUGCAAGCCUACUGAGAUGGCCUAAGUGGGGGCAUUUAAAGGAUCUACAUCCAACUAUAAAACUCUGUGAACCAGCACCUUUAGUUGUUGUUGAUGAUGCGCCAGAAUAUAUAAAAUUGGGACAAAAGCAAGAGGUGGGCAACUAGCUACUGAUACUCAUUGAUGAUUAGUUCAUCAAAUUGUUCAUGCUAAAUACGGAAUAUCUAUUUAAUUCA